rnacentral:rRNA from 1 species
UACGGGGGGGGCAAGCGUUGUUCGGAAUUACUGGGCGUAAAGGGCUCGUAGGCGGCCAACUAAGUCGGACGUGAAAUCCCUCGGCUUAACCGGGGAACUGCGUCCGAUACUGGAUGGCUUGAGUUUGGGAGAGGGAUGCGGAAUUCCAGGUGUAGCGGUGAAAUGCGUAGAUAUCUGGAGGAACACCGGUGGCGAAGGCGGCAUCCUGGACCAACACUGACGCCGAGGAGCGAAAGCCAGGGGAGCAAACGGG